CCGGCCCUGCCCACUACGCUGGUUUUUCUGGUUGUCUCGGUUGCUGGGUGUGUUACUGGACCCGCGAAUUUAAAGAAGCUUCUGGUCCUGACUUUCAGGGGCUACCAAUACUUCACUAUUUUUCAAGUGCCAGUCCCUGAUAGGUGCGAGCCGGUUCUGCUUCCUGGAGAGGAGGAGACGUCUCCUUAAAGAAGAAAGGCACUGAUCAGCUGGGCAGGAUUUUACCUCAACUCCGAAAAUAGGUCUGGAACGGCCUAGGGACCUGGUGCUCCGUGCAGACUUGUUCGCACCACUGGGGAGCUCACACCCUGAUGGGAAACUUGCAGUCUACUCAAGGUACUUGAAUAUAGAAUUGUGCCCAGAAAGCGGAGAAGAUGAGCUUUUGACCCAACCUGAGAUUCCAGCAAUGGGAGAUCGGACUCUAUUUAGGGCGUCUACAGAGACAGGAUAAGAGAAAAUCAUAAAGAUACUAUUCUAAGUACGUUCAUACUGGGCCCUGAGGCAACCAGGGUGGUUAGGAUUUAGAAUUAUGUUUUGAGGAUCUCGAGUGGCCUUCAACAGAGUUAACUAGGACUGUGACUUGGUCAGAUUUAAAUUUUUAAAGAUGGCUCUGAGGUCUGGGGGAAGGGAAGAGGACAAGUUCAUGACUUCACUCUAAUUUAUUUCUGCAAACUAUUUUUGAGCCCUUUUUGUGUAUAAAAGCCUGCCCAAAGUGUAGAGGCUUACAGAGGCAAAAAUACGUUGUCUCUAUAUGAUUUAAAACCUAAUGAGGGUUGGGCAAGAGAACAGCAAACUAACACUGUAGAAUUAAAUUGAUUCUGCAAGGAAAACUCAAUAGCUGUGGGAACUCUGAAAGAAAUAAUUAAUUCUGAGGGUAAGGUCGGGUAAGGAGAUGGGGGAGAUUUCACAGAGAAGGAAGCAUUCGAACCAACUCUGAAGAAGUAAAAUUUUGUCUGUUAGUGUUGGGAGCAGAAGGCGGGAGGUUGGGUAGUGGUGAGGGAAGCUGGUAGGACAGGAUAUGUGUGCCAGACACUGAGGAAUCAGCAGGCUAGGGCUCCUGUGUGAGGGGAGGGGUUAGAAGAACAAACAAUAAACAAAUAGCAAAAAAAAAAAAAGGAUUUCUAAACAAGAAAUAAUUAGAAAGUGACAGGUGCUAUACAUUGAAAUUAAAAUGGAACAAUGCUUUGCAACCUCCAGUCCAAUUGAAUCUAUUUUCAAUCUCAGAUCUUGCUUUUUCAGUUUUGUACUUCUUCCCCCACCCUCAUGCUGUCCUCUAAUUGAAGGCUACUUUUUUGAAGAUGGUACUUCCUCCAGGACUUUACAGACCUUCUUCCCCCGUCAAGCCUAUGUUAGAGACUGCUUCUGAUCCAUAGGAACCUACACUUUUCCACUGACGAUGAGUUGGUCUCUAUAAACUCUUCUCGCCUGUUUAUUCUGAUGACAUCAGUUACCAUGCUGUAAAGUGCCCAGUGGAGAGGCCCAUGUGGCAAGAAACUGAAGGAGGCCUCAGGCCAAAAGCCAGUUAAAGAAAUGAGGCCCUCAGCCCAACAGCCUGUGAGAAACUAAAUCUUCCAAUACCCCUUAAGUGCACCUGAAAGCAGAUCCUCCUAAGUGGAGUUGUGAGGUGACUGCAGCCCCAGCCAACAACUGACCAUGACCUAUGAGAGAUCCUGAGCCAGAGGGCUCAGUUAAGCCGCUGGAUUUCUGACCACAGAAAAUGUGUGACAAUAAAUAUUUGUUGUUUUGCCCUAAA